AUUUGGAUUUAUUUAAUUUUUAAUAUAAUAAUUGAUAUUAUUAUUAAAUAAUAUUAUAAAAUUAAUUGAUUCUUUUAUUUUAAUUUGUAUUCUAGUCAUUGCCACAUUAUUUUUAUCUUAUUUAUUCAAGUUAAGUCAUUGUCACAUAUAUAUAAAAGUAGAGGGGGAAAAACAAUAAAAAUUAAAUUGAAAGACCAAAAGUUAAAUUUUUUUAAAGAGGCUAAAAAUUAAAAUAAUAACACUAAAAAAAACAUUUAAACCUUAAAAUUAAAACGGUAUUCUCAUAUUUUGAAACGUCAGUAUAAUCUAACAAAAUUGAAUAUGGUAAAAUAUAAAUUUAUAUAAAAAAAAAUUGUUGCAUUUCAUGGCCAAUGAUAAAUUAAUUCACUCUCAA
rnacentral:lncRNA from 1 species